AGUUUCCACAAGUGGAGCCGCUGGCGUCGAGUGGGAGCAACAGGAUGUGGCCUCUCGUCUUUCUGCUCUGCUUCAUUCAAAGUUUUGGUGUUCAAGGGGUCAAUUGGACGAUUUUAACUUUUACAACGGACAAGGAUAACGCGGGAACAGACUCCGAUAUCUUUAUUACUCUCCAUGAAGUCACGGAUCUUCCGCAGAAAUGGAAUUAGACAAUGAAGAAAACAACUUUGAGAGAAGCAAUUAGAUACCUUUUGUCACAACGGACGAAUUGGUGAAGUGUGCUCAGUGAACAUCAGGUCUGACGUAGUGGCGAUGAUUACGAAUGGCAUCUCCUAUGGGUAAAAUAGAACUGUAGUGUUUGCUUUCUAAAACUAAGUGGCUUCAAUAAGACACCAAGAUAUAAAUGAUAUUAAUUUCAUAAUUAUGUGAUCCAUACGUUGCGAUACAAACAUCCCAGACAGCACAAAAUGUUGGACCAAUGUGGUUCCAGUGCUUGCAGGUACUGGCCAUCAUAGCCACUGAGAGCUAGCCUCAAGCCAGGAUGGAAACAAUACAGCGGCCAUUUAAGAAACUCCCGCUACAUGGCUGUCACCAUGGUAACACGCCGUCUGAUGGGCUCGCAGUGCCUUGCGUGACUGACAUAUGUAUAUUAUGUCGGCACAGAACACAACCAAUCUGAGCUUCCAUUACGAUGAUAAUAUAUACAUAUAAAUAUAUAUGUCUAAGACUGCGCCCUAGAGCUUUAAUGGUAGCCACUCUGUCAGUCCUGUAUUUUUCCAUACUGGGCCAAAAUAUUUUGACAUUGUUGUACGAUGAUAGAAGGCAUAGCUGGAGCCGACAUGGCUCAACAUACAGCAAUAUUUCUCCAAGAUUUAUUCAUUUAAAUGGACACAUUUCUUUAAUCACAUCACAACAUUUACGGUACUGCGAUAUAUAGCACAACUGAUUACCACGGACAUCAUUGUUUACUGUUUAAAUUAAAUAAAAUUUUGGCAAAAUUUAUUAGAAUUUAUAGUUCAUUUAUUAAAUUUAAUGUAUUCUUAACAAAGCAUUACACAUGCGGGAAGUCCCCCAAGGAAUUUGCACUUAAAGACUACUUUGCCUAAAGCUAAUGGCAGCAGGCAGACAAUAUUUCCAAUGGCACCUGACACACCGACUGUUAUUUUACCUGCUUAUCACUUUAGUAAUACUACAUCCUUUAGGACAAAGACAAGAAUGUUUAAUUCUUUGUAUUAGCCCUUACCAAAAAAAUUCGUAGUAUUCAUUCGCAAAAUGCGUAUUUCAUGCAAUGUUGUCAUGUUUGUCCUUUUUGCAAAUUUAAAUCUCAAUGAUACAGAAAAGAGAAUUCUAGACGUGUCUAAAGACAUUAAAUGUCUUAUUGCUUAUGAUUUCUUAUUGUGAUUACACAUUUGUCACUAAGCUCGUAUCUCCCAUACAUAAUCCAGGUUUUUUGCUUUCUGUUGCUCACAGAUUGGGUUUCGGGACUAAUAAGCAGAACACUUUUACGUGCACUGUUGGAUAGAUAAACAAAAUGGAUUAAACAGGGAUCUCCAAGCUUUUCUCCCAUGCUCCCGACAGAACAAAUAAGUAUAUCCUACUUACAUAUCUGAAUAUAUCAGAAACAUAUAAUGUUAACACUCUUUGUUAAAAAAAAGAUAAAAUUUGUUGCUAUGUGUGUUUCAAACUUGGUAUAUUUAACAUCUUUCUAGACGACUGUAGAUGUUAUCUCAAAAAUUCAACACUAUUGUUGCAAAUUUACAGCUUGACUAAUACUGAUUUUGUUGCAUAAAUAAUGUCAUAAGGUUUUUAACACAAUUUUUAAUUAACAUCUGCCUACAUUUACAUUUAUCUACCGUCUGACAAUGACUGUUAUCAGGUAAACCAAAGUAGGCGCAGACUUUAAAUCCGGCACUGACCAACCAGCAUAAAGAGUUUAUUCUUCACCUGAUGGAACACUUGGUCAUCGGCUAAAUGGAAUUCUAAGAAAUAUCUGUCAAUGUCUACUGUCACCUUUGAACAGUGUCAUGGCACACAACCCUGCUAAUGUUUUUGUUUACACUUGAAAAUCUGUAGAAUAUUACAACAAAGUGGCCAAAAUUUAUGACAGUUUUAUCUUACAUCUCUAAGUACUGCAAUGUGGCUAUAAAAGCAUAUUUAAUUUGAGUCAAUAAUAGUAAGGUCUUUUUACCCCACAAGCAAUUCUAAAGCAAACAAUUCUACAAAAAAGUAAAAGAGUGAAAAUAAUGUCCAAUUUUUUCGAAAAAAGGUGUUUCUAAGAUUUUG
rnacentral:lncRNA from 1 species